CUAGCCACCAGCCAGGUUAAGAGGGGAUGAAAGGAGCAUGAGGAAGCGCGAGGAGGGCCAAACCCUAGGUAUUUAGUAGAAAGAGGGGGCGGGAGGCAUUAUGUGCCAAAAUUUUGGGAUUCGUUUGCCCACCAGUUAAUAGGACAGUAGUGAUUAAUCGGUCUGACAAGUAAUUAAUCGGUAUGAUAACUCAUUAAUCGAUCUAACUGGUCAAUUAAUCGUCACGACAAGUUAACACGAUGAAUAGGUGUUAUUCGAUUCGGUCACCCUAAGAGUAGCAAUUAACUAGCAAGUUAACUGGUUAAUCGGACGAAUUGUUGAACAGCUGGAGCAAGUUAACGGGCCAGCCCAUACGCCGUGUUUUUUAAUGGUCUUGGAAUCUUCUAGUAGGUUCUACAAGCUUUUAUUGGUAGUUUUUCUUUCAGUCUUUUCUAUCAUGGGUUUUGGCUGGUUUACUCAUUUUUCGGUUUCUUCUUUCACUUUUCUUUUCUUCUUUCGUUGCCUACUCUUUUUUUCCGGAUUCAGAAUCUCUUAUCAAAUUUGUGAAGUUUUUUCAAUUUUUGUGAACCUUUUUUCAUUCUUUAUGAACCUUUUCCAAAAUCUUUACCUAUUCCCGAACUUUUUUAAAGUUACAAUACCUUUUCAAUUGGUGAACUUUUUUCAAAAGUCAUGAUUUCAACAAAUGAUGAUUAUCUUUGUUCUUGAAUUUUUUGUGUGAACUUUUAGAAAUUACGAAAAUCUUAAUAUAAGCACAUUUUCUAAUUCAUGAACUUUUCUAUGUUCCCUUUUUGCAAAUUUCUAAACUCUUUUCAGAUUCAUUAUUUUUUUUAAAAGUAAAUGGUGAGUGAUUAGGGGCAAGGCUCAACAGUCAACAGUUAGGGACAAAAGUCAAAGAUCAAUGGUAUC
rnacentral:lncRNA from 1 species